UCCCUGAAUCUCUGGAUUCACAGUCACUUUCCUUUUUCAUGUUGCCUCGUACAAGCCACCCGCCAGGAUCAGAUCACAUCCAGACACUGCAUCGUCUUCUCCCCGUUACACUUACUUUGCUAAGAUGGCCAAGCUUUCGUUCGCGCAGUUCUUCAUCGCGGCCCUCAUUUUUUCAGCCAUGUCCGUGUGUCCCCAUGCAGAGCCAGAGCGGUUGUGCACCGAGGUCAUAAAAUUCUAGAAGUGUACCCACCAGGCCUGUGUGGCGCAAUGUAAGAGCAACCACGGCGGCUUCUUCUGCCAAGCGAACUGCCAGCAAGACUACUUCAGCCCCCAGAUAAUCUGCUUAUGCUACCAUCACUGUUGAGUGCAUGAGCGCGCGGGUCGCGAUCUACUUUGCUCCCGUAAUAAGGCAAAUCAUAUGUCUCACCGUUUGAAUUCUGGACUUGAUCGAGUAAUAAUCAGUUUCUGAUCUUUGUUCCUA